rnacentral:lncRNA from 1 species
UUAUGCCUUUAUUCACAGGUUGAAAUUUGCAACCUGAUCAGAUACAUUACACACAUCAAAAGAUUACAGUAACACAAAUGCAACAUAUUUGUCAUUGCAACAAGUUAUUCACGUAACAGCCGCAAUGCUUGCAACUGCAGUACCUACAACCGCAAUUUAAAACCUAGGUCAGACAUUAAGUGUGGGCAGUUAAGCUUAGUAUUAACCUUGUCCAUGCUCCAUGAAAAUCCUGGCUCCGCCACUACUGGUAACCAAAGACUAAGCUCAACAGAAUGAUAUCAAUUACGUAGAUACUUUUUCUCCUAUGGCUAAAAUAACCACAAUGAGGUCAUUGUAAUCUUUGUUAGCACAGAAUCAUUGACAUCUUAAUCAGUUGGACAUUAAUAAUGCCUUUUUCAAUGGGGAGCUUUUUGAGGAAGUCUAUAUGGAGGUAUCUCAAGGUUAUUUGGUGAAGGGGGAGAAUUCAGCUUGCAAAUUGAACAGAUCAAUUUAUACUCUCAAGCAAGCUGCAAGCAUUCGGUAGCGGUUCCAUAAAUGCUCAACAACAUUGGUUAGCCAUGGUUUUGUCCAAUCUCCUCGUGAUUACUCCUUGUUCAUGAAAGGCACAUUAUCAUCUUUUAUUGCCUUGUUGGUAUAUGUAGACGAUAUUAUAAUAGUUGGAGAAAAUGCAGAUAUGUGGCUCAUGUCAAACAAAUUCUGCAGCAAGCCUUUAAAUCGAAGGAGUUAGGCAAGUUAAAGUACUUUCUCAGGCUUGAAAUAGCUCGUUCAGCUCAAGGAAUCUCAUUGUCACAGCGGCUUAUGCACUCUUUUUUUUGCAAGACACAGGAUUUACAGUUGCAUUCCUGCCACUCUUCCUAUGGAUCAAAACCUCAAGUUGUCCUGUGUAUUGGAGAUCCCUUGGCUGAUAAUGCACAAUACCAGUGAUUGAUUGGUUGCCUCUUGUAUCUUAUAAUUUCAAGACCUCAUGACAUUGUAUUUACACUUUACAGUAAAUAAGCUGAUGAGUCAGUUUAUGGCACACCUUGAUGCCUUACAUCAUCUUCUUCAGAUUCUAUGAUUUGGAAUGCUUGCAAUAAUUGGGUGGGGUUAUCUACUGUAUUGCCUCAAGAUGGCAGGUGUCAUUUCCUACAGCAUGGGUUAUUGGGCAGAAAUAUGAAAGUGAAUUAUUGGUGGAAAGCUGUGUGGUUUGCUGCGGUUUGGAGUAUUUGAUUGCUGAGGAAUUCUGUCAUUUUUAAUGGAGCUGUCCCUUGUGUUGAUUCUACAGGAGACUUGAUUAAAAUGAGAUGGGGACCCAUGUUAUUGUCUCAACUGGGUGCUAUGCAGCGGAAUACAUAGUUGCUGGUAUGGGUGGGGUCCUAUUUGUUAGGUGCUGGUCAUGUAAAAUUGUUAUAUUUUGUGCUAUCAUGAUCAGUGUUGUGGGUUGGUAAUUUUGUUUUGCUGAUUUUUGUUGGGGUUGGGGGUGUUAGGUUGAAUCCUUUCAUGUAUCUAAAUCUACACCUUUAAUAUCUCUUUGUAUAAGGGUUGAAGCAUCCCUUGUGCUUUCUUUUAAUUUAUCAGUUCUUUUGGCUUUUAAAAAAAAAUCUUCUUCAGAAGACCAAUAAUGGGGAAAUUGUGUUGAUACUAGAAGACCAAUAACGGGGUUCUGCAUCUUCUUUGGAGACUCAUUGGUCUCACGGAAGUCCAAGAAGCAGGCUAUGGAGAACGUUCUUCUGCAGAAGCGGAAUUUCGGCUGUAACUAGUGAGAUAAAAUGGCUUACUGGUCUGUUACAAGAUCUAUAUGUUGACUGUCACUCGGCAAUGGUUUUGUGUGACAGUCAAUCUGCAAUUUACAUUGGUACCUACCCUAUCUACCAUGAACGCACAAAACAUAUUGACAUUGAUUGUCAUUUUGUCGGUGAACAGGUCCAUCAAGGCUUAAAAAGUUAAUUCAUGUGCGCUCAAAACAGCAAAUUGCUUACAUUUUGAUAAAGUCAAUUUCUACUUUAGCUUUGCCAGAACUUAUCUCCAAGAUUGGCUUGAUCAACAUCUUUGCUCCAAGAUUAAAUGUACAGAUUGUAAUUAUAAACUGCACACUAGCUCAGGGUAGUUAGGGUUAGGAUUCUGUUAUAACUGCAUAGAAGAUAGCUAAGUUACAUUACCUUCUCUGACUCAAUGUAUACAUGUACUCCUGAAAACACUAAAUGAGAGAUCAUUUUUCUCUUCCAUUUACUUGGUUUCAUCUCCAAUAAAAGAUAAGUAUCAAAUCUAGGGGAGUUAUUAAUCCAACGGCAGAAAUCAAGACUAGAUAGAAAUAUCAUAUUGAGUGGAGCAUGAGAUAUAAAGAGGAGAGCAGAACAGUGGAGCCAAUAAUUUUUUGCAUAGCGAAGUACAAAUUGAAACACUAGAAGCAGGAUAAUAAACCUUGUUCUUUUUUAAUGAUUUAAGUUUUGUCGUCAUAAAAAAAGGGUAUAAUUUUAAUGUUAAAGUAAUUGGAAAAUUCCUUUUGAUUUUAAUGUCUCCAAAACUUAAGAUAUUGCUUCACAAGGGUCGUUAAUUAAUUCAGGCUACCAGCAUUUUAAGAAACAGGUAUAAAUUAAAUAUCAAGCAGCCAUAGUGAAUGCCAGAAGAAGAGAAGAAUGAGAUGAAGGAAUCAAGGAAGAAGUCUAAAAGGGAGAAGAGGAAUUCAGAGGUAAAACGAUUGGAGCAUACUAAGGUGUCUUUAAUAAACAUGUUCAAUAGGUACAUAUAUGAAGAAGCAAGUUCAACUUUGGGUCUUUGAAGAAGCAAGUUCAAAUUGAAAUGAUCUUUCGUAACUGCAGGGUCUUUGGCCCAGUGAUUCAUAAAUAAAAAUGGGUUGAAAUAUAGCUAAAUUUAAUUUAAAGAAAUUUUUCCUUUUCUUUUUUAUGCCUUUAUUCACAGGUUGAAAUUUGCAACCUGAUCAGAUACAUUACACACAUCAAAAGAUUACAGUAACACAAAUGCAACGCCACAUUUUGCCUUACAUAGAAGCAGAUAUACUAUUUAGUGUAUUUAUGCUCUCCACUUUUCCACUUCUAAGCAUAAAUGCAGUUACCAUAACCUGCAAAUUGCAAUUCAGGAUGAGAAAAAGGCAAAUUUAGCACUUCAUUCAGAUAACAGGAAUACAAGCAGAUUAAAUCUUUAAACAACACAAUGAGUAAUUAAUUAAUAUAACUACUUACUGGGAUCGGUGACAACAACAAGGCCAGAGGCUCUGAAAUCACAGUUCCAGUGGUUUCUUCCCUUGGACUGAUAAUAGAUAUUCAUGGCUAUGGAGGCACGGUUGAUGAGACUGUCA